rnacentral:tRNA from 1 species
GCAGAGCGAGGCCUGCUGAAAAGCUCGCUUGGCUCAUAACCAAGAGGACGCAGGUUCGAAUCCUGCCCCUGCA